rnacentral:rRNA from 1 species
AGCGAACGCUGGCGGCAGGCCUAACACAUGCAAGUCGAACGAACCUUUCGGGGUUAGUGGCGGACGGGUGAGUAACACGUGGGAACGUGCCUUUAGGUUCGGAAUAACUCAGGGAAACUUGUGCUAAUACCGAAUGUGCCCUUCGGGGGAAAGAUUUAUCGCCUUUAGAGCGGCCCGCGUCUGAUUAGCUAGUUGGUUGAGGUAAUGGCUCACCAAGGCGACGCUCAGUAGCUGGUCUGAGAGGAUGAUCAGCCACAUUGGGACUGAGACACGGCCCAAACUCCUACGGGAGGCAGCAGUGGGGAAUCUUGCGCAAUGGGCGAAAGCCUGACGCAGCCAUGCCGCGUGAAUGAUGAAGGUCUUAGGAUUGUAAAAUUCUUUAACCGGGGACGAUAAUGACGGUACCCGGAGAAGAAGCCCCGGCUAACUUCGUG